UUGAAGCUGAUUCGUGCUUUAUUUAAAGCAGACAGUAGGCAGCAAACAAGGAAGAGUUUGCAAACUACAUCUCGAAGGACGUUUUGUUUGUGUGUUGUCGUUUCUUGCGUUCCAUCUGGGAGGCUCUGUUGAUGUGUAUGGCUACCUGUAAGAGAGCACUGAUGAAGAAUGGAGAAGAUGUAAAAUAGAGCUCGCCAAAGGUUUUAAAAAUAAAUCAAGAGCUUCCGGUGUUAAUGUAGAACAACACUUCCCUUCUGAAAGUCCAGAGCCAGAGCCCCUAAAAAGAACACUGCCCAGGACUGUAAAGGAUAUGAAAAAGGAACCACAUCACCAUGAGAGUGUGGAGGGGGAACACUUACUCCCUGCAAAGCUGUUUUCAAGACAGGCUACUUGUGUCAUGUAGGGUGGAAAGAAAUGAGUGAAUGAAGGCAGAAGCGCCCAGAAAGAAGGUCAGGAUGACAGCACAUAAGUGUAGAAAAGUCACAUGAGUUGCCUAAGGUCAGAGGCUUAGAAAGAAGUAGGGCCAGGACUGAGUUCCAGAAUUCCUGGACUGCAAGUCAUCAUACUGCACUGGAAAGAUAUUCGACCUUCAAUGUCCAGUCUUCCCAACCUCCAGCAAGCAGGAAAUGAACAGGAUCUCAUCAAAGUGUUUGAAAUGAACAAACGUCACCACAGCCAAGAUGUCCACUUUCUGGGAAGGAACAAAACCUGCAUAUUCCUAAGGCUUGAUUAGUUUCAUUGUUGUAUUUCAACUGAGAAACGCAUCCCAUGCAUACAUAUCUGGCUUGUAUGGUUCUUAUUUUUUUCUCCAUAUUUAUCUUUGCUCCUCUGUUCCAGGGUUAUGGGUUAAAACUAUCUGUUCACAUUGGUAUGAGUUGAGGGUCCAGGACUCCCAAAACCUCAGUUGUCAUUUCUAUAUUUCAAAUAACCUUGCAUCAUGUCCAGAAAUUUUAGACAACUUCCUAUGUGGUUCUUUCUCCUUCCUUUCAAUUAAGCUCUAAUAGGAAAAUCUUUAAUUUUUUUCAGGUGUCAAAAAUUAAGAACAUCGUCUACGUUUCAGGGGAUUUAGAGUUCAGGAUGAAAUGUAGGGAAAAUAUCCUGUGGUGGUUUUGUUUCCUACUGAUUUUCACUUAUGUCCUUUAUUUAAAGUGUGUGAACAUCUGCUUUCUUUUCUUACUUGCUGUAUGUGGCAUGUAUAUGCGAGGAAAAAUCCCAACUCAAAUUUUAAGGAGAUCUUCCUCAGCUCUAGCCUUUCCUAAACCACUUCAGCACUCAGAAUAGUUAUUUCCCUUUGUAUAUUCUGAACACCCCUUUGUAGCGUGGUUGGAUUGGUUAUAUUUGAAAAUACUGCUUAUUAAAAAUUAAAAUAUUGAUUAUGUGAUGUCAUUCUUACCAUACACUGUUUUUUUAAUCUACUCCAAAAAUGUUUUGUAUUCUUUGUAUUUGUUUUGUAUUCCAAAUUCUGUUUUGUAUUCAGAGUUUUUGGGGAUAAAGUAGUACACUGGAAGCUAUGAAUCCUUUUUGAUGUGGAAAAGAAAAGACCACCCUGCAAAAAAAGCCAUCUAAAAUUUCAUGAUGCAAGCAAACUUAAGCACCUCAGCCUGGCCUCAGCAUUGUGACUCUUGAUGACUUAGAAUUUCCUUCACAACCAAAUACAAAUAAGUCUGUGUCUUUAAAAAAAUAAAGCCCAUCUUCUACAUAAGACAGUUUCUAGUUUAUCAAAAAGCUGCACUAGUGUUUAAUAAAGCAUGCUGCAUUCAACUCAGGCACAGGAAACCACAAUUGUCUAAAAAUAUGUUAGGAAUACAAGAAAAACAUCAAUUCUCAGUAUGAUAUUCAGAUUCCCUAUGAAUUAGAAAAUAUUUAUAAAUUUUCUAUGAAGUCUAAAUUAAUGAAAUAAAUGAUAAUCUUUUUCUUGAGUGAAUGUGUGAGGCCUGGCUGCUGCAAUUAGUGCCAAUCUUAGUGUUUGACCAAUUUUAACAUCUUUUAUGAGUUAGUAAAAAAAUGAGUUAAUUUUUCCCUCUACAAAAGCUAAUUUAUUUGUGGGAAGGGCAAGGAUCUUCCUGUAGCAUAAAUAUUAUGAAAUCAUCAGAGAUACAUCCCAGCUUGUGGCCUCUUCAGCAGAUGGUCAGGGUCUCACCUCCCAUCACUUUGGUUGUGCUACCCCUUGGGCCAUCUUGCUCAGACUUGCAGAAGGAAGGUCUCAAAAGAAUUGCAGAGGUUGGAGCUCUCCUAGAGAGGUGACAAAGGAAUGUCUGUUCCUGAAAUAAUGAUUCUAAGUGAUUUAUGGAUUUGGUUACACAUAUGGUUUCUGCAGAUCUGGAAGGCUCUCCCACUAGUUCUGAAAAAGUCCAAGUAUGUUGUUCAGUUGCUGCUCCAGUUGCAGGCGAAGAGAAGAUGAAAUCAGUCAUUAGGUGGACUCUAGUCCACAGAGAAAGAAAAGUCUGCUUUACAAAGAGGGCAGGGGGUCAAGGAGUUAAGUUUUCCAGGGAAGAGGGGAAGAUAGAACAAUAUAUUCCUGCUUUUAUCUUUAGGGGAGAGAAUAUUUCUUUAAUAUCUCUUCAGGCUGAGAAACAGCUGAGAAACACUUCUUUGAUUGAAGAGUAUUAUUUGUUAGGGAUUUUCUGUAUCUCUUUAUCUCUCUCUCUCUCUGAAGCAUUUUAAAGUGGCCCUUAUAUACUCCAGGGAAAAGCACAGGAUGACCAGUCACAACUUAUCCAUCAAUUAGCUCUGUGAGUUGACCUAAGUUAUUACUAGGAAUAUUAGUUUCCCCUCAAUAGCGUAAGAUAGGAAUAAUAAUAUUGAUGUCUCAGUAUUGUUGCUAUACCACAGUUCCUAUCACAGAAAUAGAAGUUCAGCA
ensembl:lncRNA